UGCAUGAUGUUGACACAGACAAGGUUAGUAAUAACCUAUUUGUGGAUAGGAAAGAAUCCUUUUUCAACUCUUGAUUUCUCCGUCAGUCUACUCUAGCUGAGGCCAAUAUUUUAUUGCUAAUUGGAAUGGAAACUGUGAGAUGAUGUGCUAAUAGUCAAUUUGGGCCUCUAUGUGUUUAAUGCUUGACUGUUUACUUGCGAUAUGAUUUUUUUUUCCAUUGUCUCAUUCUUUUGUAUGAUUACAUGGUUUAUAUAAUAUAAGUAAUGUAGCAUCUCUUAUCAUUCUGCAUUUGAUUGCUUAUGUAAGAUUAACUUUGUUGGCAUACUAUCUGGCAGGAUGGGCGCAUAAG
rnacentral:misc_RNA from 1 species